CCCAGCCUGGCACGCACAGGGACCAACAGGUCACGAAACAACUUCUCUCCGGCGCUCGCUCGGAGGGGCAGGGUUUGCAGGGCGCAGCUCGCGGGCGCGGCAGGCGGGCGCUCCCCAAACGCGCGCCCGGCCGUCCGGAGCUGUGAGCCCGGAGCGGGACCCCAGCCCAGGCCGCCGCCCGGGCCGCGUGUCCGCCGCCCGCCCUCCCCAGCGCCCGGCCAACUUUGUUCAGCCUGAACUUUGGAGCCCAAGUCCAGGGAGCCGGCGCCCGCCGCCGCCCGCUGCGCCCGGGCCUGGGCGCCCUGGCCCUACCUGUAGUUGGUGAGCACGCUCUUGUUGACCACCACGAUGAGGAAGGAGCUCACGCCGUAAAAGCCGGCGGCCAGCAGCUUCAGGAACACGGUAUCCCAGGCAUGAAACAGUUCUGGCCACCAACAUAGGCAUCAAGCUAUGAUGAACUAAGGACUGUACUUCUGCUAUGCCCCUGAUGAUAUAAGAGCACCACCGGUCAGGCACUGAAAUAGAAUACCUUUCUGCUCAUACCACACCUGUGCCUAAUCCUCGAAACCUGACUCCUAGAGAAAAAAUGAGAGAUCUCUGAUGUCUUGAAAUAUCUGAAUGGCUUCCAGGAAAAGGAGAAAUGUUUUCAAAAAUUAUCCAACAGCCAUUCUGACAGGAUUUUUUCAGUAAAUCCACAAAUGCCAACUGUUUGUGAGGAUGUGAAGAAAAGGAAAUCCUAGUGCACUGUUGGUGGGAAUUCAGAUUGCUGCAGCCACUUUUGUUUCUGCAAAAGAUUAAAAAUGAAGCUGCCUUAUGACCCAGUAAUUCCACUUCUGGGGAUUUAUCUGAAGAAACCCAAAACACAAAUCCAAAAGAAAAAUGCACCCCUAUGUUCAUUGCAGCAUUAUUUACAAUAGCCAAACUAUGGAAGCAACCAAAGGGCCCAUCAAUAGACAAGUGAAUAAAAAAAAAAUUGUGGUCCAGCUCUUUCCCUCUCUCCUCUCUCAGAGUAUGCCUGCAUCCACCAUCUCCCCCGUCCUCCCCCCGCCCCCCCAGUAGUGCAUUACCUAAACUUUAAGGGCCCUUCUUUUGCUUCUGUAAUUUGUUUCCUGAGCCUACACAGCCCAGCUGGCUCAC